UUAUUAAAAGAAAAAGGGGUGAAAAGAACAAAGUUUUGUCCAUCUUUGUUCAUCAUAGCCUAAAGUUAGAGAAGAGAAAGGAGAGGAGAAAGCUCUUGAAUGUUCGGUCACUUGGGGAAGAAAAUUGAAGGCGGUUCGUGUGUGGAUCUCGUCAGCGUAUCGUUGCAAACAGGUGUGUAACUGACACCCUCUCAUAGACUAGAUUGGCAAAAGCUUGGGAAUUUGCGAGUGUGCGAAUGCUCGUAAAAUAGUUGGGUUUGUAUAUUUGGUAAUCUAAAGUAAUAAACUGCAGUACGCGCGAUUUCGUACAUUUUGAUAAUUUGGGCUUAAUGGGCCAAAGAUCGGGUUCAUGGGCCAACGGGCCCAAUUCGGUAAGUAUGCGCGGUAAGUGUUCUGAUAGUACGUAAAUAGUUAGGAUAUGCAUGAAAACGCUAAAAGUAGCUAAAUUACUAUAAUACCCGUAUGAAUGGAAAAUUACUGUUAUACCCCUAGGUGCAAAAUUACCGUUAUACCCCUAGGGUUAAUUUUGACUGAAAAGCAUGACGAUCUGAUUCUGUAUGAUGUAUGCCAUGAUUAUAUAUCUGUUGCAUGGGGACAUGGGUUAUAUUAUGGAGGAAGCGUUCUGGUGGCUAUGCCACAAAUAUCUGAUCUGGUGGCUCUGCCACAAAUAUCUGAUCUGGUGGCUCUGCCACAUAUAUCUGUUCUAGUGGCCCUGCCACGAUUAUCUGUAUCUAGUGACUCUGUCACAUUAUUCAUUCGCAGCCAUGCUGCAAAUUACGUGGUGUGUAGCGGUUGGGUGGGUCGAGUUGUCUCCCCACGGUGUAAGGUUGGUACGGGUGUAUACGGUUGGAUAUGGUUGGGUUUCGCAUAAACAUGUAAUAUUUAUUACGUUACAUUAUGGGCCUAUGGGCUUUAUUUUGAAUUACAUUCGGGCUAACGCCAACUUAUUCUAUUUACGUGGUUUGAGUGAUAUAGGCUAUGGUUGGGUUAAUUUACACAUGAGUUUCCCAAACUCACCCUUUUAUUUUCAUCCACGCAGAAAUCCCCAACCAUAGUGGGCUUGGAGUUGUGAGGGAAUUGAAUGGCCACCGUUCUGAAAGUUUGAUUUUCUUCGGUGAAUGGACAUUCUUUUAAUUACGUUUGAGGUUUUCGCUUUUAAAUGUAAUAAGGCCGCUUAUUUAUUUUUGAUGGUUUUAUAUGUUUUAUUAAGAUAGGUAAUAUUUAUAUUUAACUGUUGAAAUUGGAUAGCUUUAGGCGCGUUUUCAAAAGCAAGAAUGGAUUUCAAAAUAACACGAAAACAAGCAAAGCUUCCGUAAUGAAGAUAUUUUCCAAAAUUAAUCACUUUUCCUAAAAGGACUUAAUCAAAUUGGUUUCUAGAAAUAUACAUGACGUUAAGGUAUGGCAAUGGCGGUUUGCAUGUCUAGGAUUGGAUUCAAGGAGUUUGGUACUUAGCGGUCCGAUGGACUCACCUCCUCUUUUCGAUUUCCUACCGGUGCAUGACUUCCAUUCACCUUAACCCUUAAUGAAUUAAUCUUUUGAACAUCAAGUACGAUUUUUUGGACUUAGAAUGGAAAUUUUUUUUUCGUUUUUGAUGUGGCAUGCUAGAUUCGGCCAUAACUUCUGGGCCGGGUUUGGGGUGCUACAGUAUAAAGUUUAAUUAAGGUUUUCUCCAUUAAUUUUAUUAAUCGAAUAGUUAACUAAGCUAUAAGGACUAAAUUGCAAAAGUGGUAAAAAUUAAUUUCUAUGGAUUUUUAAUUAAUUGGAGGAAAAUUUAGGUAAUUGGUCCAUUUUAAAUGGAUAUUUGGUAGUGGAAGCUUAAUUUCAUCCACUAAAUAGGUUAAUUAUAAUUAAGUUAAGUUAAUUAAAGAAUAAUUUAAAUAAGGUUAAUUAAUGUUAAACAAAAUAUAAAAGAAAAAAAAAUAAAAUAUGACAUAUUUCAUCAUCUUUUUCAUCUUUUUCUCCUCAUAGCUGAACCUUGAAGAGAAAAAUAAGGGUUUGGAGUUUCAAGCUUUAGUCCAUCAAUUGGUAAGUAAUUUCAAGUUCGUUUAUUGUAAUUUUUAUGUUUUAAGGUCUAGGGAGCUUGAUUUAGCUAACUCGUGUACCAAUUUGCAAAAAUGUUAAAGUUUCUAAAAAUUAUCAUUGAUGAUUCUUGAUGAAAUUGAUGUUAAAUGGUUAGAUUUUAAGUUUAGAUAUAAAAAAGGACUAAUUUGUAAAGUGAAAAUUGUUAAUUUUGAACAUAGGGAUUAAAAUGUAAAUAAUUCAAUAUUAGUAUAAAAUUUAUGUAAUUAUGGACAGUAAAAGGACUUAUAAGGAUGUAAUUGAGAUCAAUUUUGAAAUCGAAGCUUAAAUUUGAAGGUUAUGGCAAUUUUGGUUUUAGAGACUAAAUUUGUAACGCCCUGAAAUUUAUACAUUUCUGAUUUUGUAAAUAUUUGACAUAAAUUUGUAUCUGCUUUAGUGGUUAAGUGUUUUAGGUGUGUGUGAGAGGUCCCAAGUUCAAGCCUUAUCUUUAGCAAUUUUGGUUAUUUUUGGAAUUAAGCCUUAUUCUUGUUUAGUGGGCUUAUAUUUAAUUGCCUGCAAUUUUAUAUCAGAAUGAGUCUGCUGGUUCAAGUGGUAAGGGAGUUAGAGUGUUGGGGCCCCGUGUUUGAAUCCUUACAUUAGCUAAGGUGUUAUAUUUUUGUUCAAUUAUCUGAUAGAGUUCCGGUUAGGUUAAAAUUCUGAGGAAGUUAUCAGUAGUGGGGUAGUGAAGUGAAUUAGGGGAUUUUGGGAAUAUCAAAUUAGCUUCGUUUUUCUCUCCCUUCUAGAAAAAGAAAUAAAAAAUAACGUCGUUUUCUCUAUGCUGCUUUUCUUUCCUUUUCCUUCUUCCUUUCUAACGUUCAAUUCAUUCUUUUUUUCGUGAUAAUCUUGUGGUACGUUGGUUCGUGGUCAUCACGCGUUUGGUAAGUGGAUUUUCAGUUUGGGUAAAGUUUGUUCGAAUGGUGGAGCUUCUUUUUAGUAGGGUUUUCUUUUUUGAGAGACUAGUAACUCUUUCAGAAUGUUAUGCACAGGAAUUGACGGGGAACAGUACGUUAGGGCUCCAACGGUUUAGAACGUGUUAGCAGUGGUUUUGCAUCUUUUCCUUAUUAUCGAGGUCAUUAGUAAAUCCUCUAAAUUGGUAUUGGGUAUUCUGAUUUUAGGUUUCAGAAGGCUUGGGAUUACUUUAGCAUCAAAUCGAUAUCAGGCGUGUACCGAAAAUGCAGAAAAAUGAGAUUCGAUGAAAGCCAAAAAACCCUGCUGUUGACACCACACGGUCGUGUGGUAGGUCGUGUGCGACAACACAGCUGUGUGAUUGACGAAGGCCAAGCCGUACACAAGACACGACCGUGUGAUGGCCGAAGUGUGGCCGUGUGAACCACUGAUAAGUCAUAAUAUAUACAUAUUUUUAUCCCAUACUUGGCAUAUUUUGGAUAAUUUAACAUAAGAUUUAGUGAA